GACAGAGGGUGCAAACGUUGUUCGGAAUUACUGGGCGUAAAGCGCGUGUAGGCGGCUAAGUAAGUCGGGCGUGAAAUCCCACGGCUCAACCGUGGAAGUGCACUCGAAACUGCGUAGCUAGAGUCCUGGAGAGGAAGGUGGAAUGCUUGGUGUAGAGGUGAAAUUCGUAGAUAUCAAGCGGAACACCGGUGGCGAAGGCGGCCUUCUGGGACAGUGACUGACGCUGAGACGGCGAAAGC
rnacentral:rRNA from 1 species